ensembl:lncRNA
CUCACCGUCAAGUAGACUUACUAAAGAAGGCUAUACUUAAUUUGAAUAAGAUGUUAAAUUAUUUAGUAUUGUGCAUCCUGCUUUCAAUUAAAGUUACAAAAUAUAAACAGCUAAAAAUAUAAGAAAACAUGUCCCAUGAGAUAUUGCACAAUGGUACGCUAGAUGGCGCCACGGCCCAGAAAUCUUGCUAUGCUUCGCUGACUGAGUAAAACCAAGAAGAAAGAAUAGAGGUUGUAGAAGAAGAGUUUAUGUGUUUACUUUCGGUGUUGUUGUUUGGACUAUACUGUAUAAAUCCCAUGUAUCCCAUGCAAUUCUUAACAAUUUGGAUUCACCAUGACCUUGAAUAUGUAUAGUCUAUUUGGGGACACCGAGGCGGGAUUACGUUUUUGUGAACCAAGCAAGCAGAAUAAACCAGUUUAACCACGGGUCAGUUCCAACUUCCCUUACACUCUUUAAGUCUUGUAUGUACCACUACACAUAUCUUCGUCUUUCGAAACACGACACGAUGCAUUCUGUGAAGGAGCAGUACAGGGACAUAAACCCCGUGACGGUGAACGUUAUAGAAGCGAACGUCACGUCGAGUCUGUACUGCGGCGCGGUCCACGGGCUCGAUGCCCCUGGUGCUGAUCUAGUCGAAGCCUUUCUCGUAGAACUGUAUCGCUGCAGGGUGUGUCAGUUCACAAGCAGCCUGAAGAGCAGCAUCAAGACCCAUUUGCUGAAUUCCCAUGACGACCUGCCUCCCGCGAUGGCCUCCUCCGGCUUUGAGGAAGAGGAGGCUGUAGUGAUGGAGCAUAUAGCCCCCCGCACCCCCGACUCUCCCUAUAACCUGGAACUCGAGCUCACGUCCGAGUCCAAUCACAGUGACGAUGACCCCAUGGAUCACAUGGGUCUGGACCGCAUGUCCUUCCUGCUGCCCAUGUACGGCAUUCUGCCCAGCAUGAGUCCACGAUCAUGUGACAUGGGCAUGAGUUCGAACUGUGACGGUGGUCUUCAAGUGGCGGAGACCUGUGAGGUCAGCACUCUGUUUGAGGAUGAAGAUGACGAAGAGGAGGAGGAGGAGGAGGGGGCAGAUGGAGAGGAGCCCACCAUCUUCCACCUGAAGGCAGAGGAGAGGCCGGCCAGCGGAGGGUGUCGACAGUGUGGCCGGAGAAUGAGGAGGCAGGGGAAGACGAAGAGCGGCAAGACGCAGAGCUGCCGUGCGUGCCAGCGCUCCGAUAGAACCCAGCACGCCGGUGACGCGCGAGCACCUCACAGACACUCACAGACACUCACCGCUACCGCACAAAGCACCAAGGCAGCUGCUGAGCACCACACGCACACACCCAACGCGCAGAGAGCUGGCAAGGGCAAGCGACACACAUUGAGCAUACAGUCGUCAGGAACACACACAGAGGGCACACGGACAGACCGCACGAACGCCAAAGACAUUCGCGUGCAGCCGCGACGCAUGGCUGAGCGGUGUGUUCUGUGACUACAAAGGUGCAGCGGUUGUCACACACAAAACUGAGGAGGAAAUCGAUCGCCGCCUCUCAUCAAGACUGACAGACACACCUUCUUACCAACCAACCAGUAGGGGGCGGAGCCACAAUGGGGCAGAAUCCACCCAACCUCACAGGACCAGGAAGCAGAGCAGAAGCCCAGAGGGGAACACGGGAUCGAAGAAGAAAGCCCCCAAGGAGACCAUUGGUCGAAGGGACCUGUGCUGUCUGCUCUGUGACAGGUCCACCGCACGCCAUCACAAUACAAACGCAUCAUAACAAUAUGUUUUCUUUCAUAAAGUGCAUAAUGCACCCCAAAAUGCUGCGCAAUACUGACAAAAUGCAUUAAAAAUAGCAAAAUACAAAGGAAUCAAGCAGGUCAAAUAGUUAAGGAGGUACGGUUCUUAGCCGAUGAUUGGUUGGAUAAUAAAGAUGUGUACACAGCGGUUGAAGCUUGACUGAGUCUCUUCUACUUCCUGUGCCACAGGAAGUUCUGCAGCAGGCUGACCCUGCGUCGUCACAUGGGCAUCCACCAGGGUAGCAAGCCUUACAGCUGCCAGCUGUGCCCCUACCGCAGCCGCCUCAAGGCCUCCCUGCUGCAGCACAACCGCAUCCACACAGGUCAGCCCACACCUGCUCCUGGGCCACACCUCCAGGCUGUAAACAGGCCACCCUCUGGUGGUCGGAAGACCACAGUGAACCCAAUGAUCCAAAUUAAAUAACAGGGAUGAUGGAGAGGUACAGAUGGAUGAUGGGGAAGGGACUGAAUGAUGGAGGGAUGAUGUAGAAGUGACUGAAUGAUGGAGGGAUGAUGCAGAAGUGACUGAAUGAUGGAGGGAUGAUGGAGAA